AGCUGUCCAGCAGCUCCAAACUCUCUUCAGUGAUCUGUUGGACCAAUAGACACCUCUGCAGUGGACAAAGCCCUUCAGCUGACAGCACUGUCCAGGAGACAAGCACAGCUUCAAUGUGUCCAGGUUGCUGAAGCUUCAGGACCGAUGGCCUCUAUGCCAUGGCUGUAGUUAUUGGCUCUGAGGAUGUGUUGAAGUGCUUCAGAUCCCCACAGGGCAAAGGCAGGCAUGAGUGCCAAAAGAAUGGACCAUUCUGAAGCACCGGCAGGUCAGAGCAGAAAAUGAAGGAGAGGACUGCUGCUUCUCUCUGAACAGGGAGCUUCAAUAGGUAUAAGACACAUUCUACACAUAUGUAAAAAGGGUCCCUUUGUAUUACCCUUUUUAGCUGUUUUUUAAAUAUACUUUCAUUAGCAGCACAUUCUCUUUUCUGAGUGCAGAAUAAAGUCCCAUCUUCCGCAUAUAUUAAAUUGCAGCUUCUGCUUUCAGCAUGAUUGCUCCCUCUCUGGACCAGAUUCAUAAUGAGGAUUGCUUUUUAGU